GAAACCUGGAGGUUCCCUCCAGAUCUCACAACGCUUUCUUUCCAAUCUCCUUGUGUUUCAGGUCUUGGAUCUCUUCCUGGGCUCCUGCACUCUGAUAUCCAUCUCACCCGCUUCUAAGUGUCCGUCACAGCCGGCGUGGAAACCUGGAGGUUCCCUCCAGAUUUCACGACGCUUUCUUUCCACUCUCCUUGUGUUUCAGGUCUUGGAUCUGUUCCUGGGCUCCUGCACUCUGAUAUCCAUCUCACCCGCUUGUAAGUGUCCGUCACAACCAGUGUGGAAACCUGGAGGUUCCCUCCAGAUUGCACAACGCUUUCUUUCCACUCUCCUUGUGUUUCAGGUCUUGGAUCUGUUCCUGGGCUCCUGCACUCUGAU
ensembl:lncRNA